GUGCUCGUUUCAGCAGCACAUGUACUAAAAUUGGAACGAUACAAAGAAGAUUAGCAUGGGCCCUGUGCAAGGACAACAUGUAAAUUCAUAAAGGGUUCCAUAUUUAA
ensembl:snRNA U6 U6 spliceosomal RNA